rnacentral:rRNA from 1 species
CUCAGUUACGGGCAGGUGGUUCACCUCACGGUGCUACUACCUGGUCCGGACCUAUUGCUGGUGCCCCCUAGGUGCCCUUCAUUGGGUGCCUGGGGAGACCAGAGCGUUUACUUUGAAAAAAUUGGAGUGCUCAAAGCAGGCGAAUGCCUGAACAGUCGUGCAUGGAAUAAUGGAAAAGGGCCUCGGUGCUAUUUUGUUGGUUCUCGGCACUCGAGGUAAUGGUUGAAGGGGACAGACGGGGGCAUUCGUAUUGCGACGUUAGAGGUGAAAUUC